rnacentral:rRNA from 1 species
GACAGAGGAUGCAAGCGUUAUCCGGAAUGAUUGGGCGUAAAGCGUCUGUAGGUGGCUUUUAAGUCCGCCGUCAAAUCCCAGGGCUCAACCCUGGACAGGCGGUGGAAACUACCAAGCUGGAGUACGGUAGGGGCAGAGGGAAUUUCCGGUGGAGCGGUGAAAUGCGUAGAGAUCCGGAGGAACACCAAAGGCGAAGGCAGUGUCCUGGGGAGUACCUGACGCUCAGGUGCGAAAGCCAGGGGAGCGAACGGG